AGGCGAACCAAGCCUUGGUUCCAGCAAGCCCCAGACAGACUGGGAAAGCAGAUCCACUUGAGACACCAGAGUAAAACGGGCACUUGGAGCAUAAUGCAUGGCACCAGGUUUGGUGAAUAGACUCCCAUCAGCCUCAUCAUGAAGUCUCCUGUCCUCUUUCCUGGACCAAGGGGAAGUCCCUGUGAUCGAAGGGCCAACUCCUUGUCCUCUUCACUGCCUUUACCACACCUUCCCAGCAUGAGGAGAAGCAGAGAGAACAAAGCGGGUCUCUUUGCAUUCACAGACCAUGGCUGAUCUCAUGGGCUCAUCUGCGAGACACACCACUAUC